rnacentral:rRNA from 1 species
UGGGGAAUUUUGGACAAUGGGCGAAAGCCUGAUCCAGCAAUGCCGCGUGUGUGAAGAAGGCCUUCGGGUUGUAAAGCACUUUUGUCCGGAAAGAAAUCCUUGGCUCUAAUACAGUCGGGGGAUGACGGUACCGGAAGAAUAAGCACCGGCUAACUACGUGCCAGCAGCCGCGGUAAUACGUAGGGUGCAAGCGUUAAUCGGAAUUACUGGGCGUAAAGCGUGCGCAGGCGGUUUGCUAAGACCGAUGUGAAAUCCCCGGGCUCAACCUGGGAACUGCAUUGGUGACUGGCAGGCUAGAGUAUGGCAGAGGGGGGUAGAAUUCCACGUGUAGCAGUGAAAUGCGUAGAGAUGUGGAGGAAUACCGAUGGCGAAGGCAGCCCCUGGCAAUACUGACGCUCAUGCACGAAAGCGUGGGGAGCAAACAGGAUUAGAUACCCUGGUAGUCCACGCCCUAAACGAUGUCAACUAGUUGUUGGGGAUUCAUUCCUUAGUAACGUAGCUAACGCGUGAAGUUGACCGCCUGGGGAGUACGGUCGCAAGAUUAAAACUUAAAGGAAUUGACGGGGUCAUAGCUGUUUCCU